AGUGAACGCUGGCGGCGUGCUUAACACAUGCAAGUCGAACGAGAACGGAAUAUAGCUUGCUAUAUUUGUCAGCUAAGUGGCGCACGGGUGAGUAAUGUAUAGAUAACCUGCCCUUAAGAAAGGAAUAACAGUUGGAAACGACUGCUAAUGCCCUAUAUGCCUUUAAUACAUAAGUAUGCAAGGGAAACGCUUUAGUGCUUAAGGAUGGGUCUGUAUGGUAUCAGCUUGUUGGUGAGGUAAUGGCUCACCAAGGCUAUGAAGCCUAACUGGUUUGAGAGGAUGAUCAGUCACACGGGAGCUGAGACACGGUCCAGACUCCUACGGGAGGCAGCAGUGGGGAAUAUUGCACGAUGGACGAAAGUCUGAUGCAGCAACGCCGCGUGGAGGAUGACACAUUUCGGUGCGUAAACUCCUUUUAUAUAGGAAGAUAAUGACGGUACUAUAUGAAUAAGCACCGGCUAACUCCGUGCCAGCAGCCGCAGUAA
rnacentral:rRNA from 1 species